AUGUGAUGAGGUUGAAUGUAAGAGCUGAAUGUGAUGAGGCUGAAUGUGAUGAGGCUGAAUGUGAUGAGGUUGAAUGUAAGAGCUGAAUGUGAUGAGGUUGAAUGGGAUGAGGCUGAAUGUGAUGAGGUUGAAUGUAAGAGCUGUAUGUGAUUAGGUUGAAUGUGAGAGUUGAAUGAAAUAAGGUUGAAUGUGAUGAGGUUGAAUGUGAUGAGGCUGAAUGUGACAGUGUUAACUGUGAUGAGGCUGAAUGAGACAGGAUUGAAUGUGAUGAGGCUGAAUGUAAGAGUUGAAUGUGAUGAGGUUGAAUGUGAUGAGGCUGAAUGUAAGAGCUGAAUGUGAUGAGGUUGAAUGUGAGAGUUGACUGGGAGAGUUGAAUGGGAGAGUUGAAUGUGAUGAGGCUGAAUGUAAGAGUUGAAUGUGAGAGUUGAAUGUGAUGAGGUUGAAUGUGAGAGUUGAAUGUGAUGACGUUGAAUGUGAGAGUUGAAUGUGAGAGUUGAAUGUGAUGACGUUGAAUGUGAGAGUUGAAUGUGAUGAGGCUGAAUGUAAGAGUUGAAUGUGAGAGUUGAAUGUGAUGAGGCUGAAUGUAAGAGUUGAAUGUGAGAGUUGAAUGUGAUGAGGUUGAAUGUGAGAGUUGAAUGUGAUGACGUUGAAUGUGAGAGUUGAAUGUGAUGAGGCUGAAUGUAAGAGCUGAAUGUGAUGAGGUUGAAUGUGAGAGUUGAAUGGGAGAGUUGAAUGGGAGAGUUGAAUGUGAUGAGGUUGAAUGUGAGAGUUGAAUGUGAUGACGUUGAAUGUGAGAGUUGAAUGUGAUGAGGUUGAAUGUGAGAGUUGAAUGUGAUGAGGUUGAAUGUGAGAGUUGAAUGUGAUGAGGUUGAAUGUGAGAGUUGAAUGUGAUGAGGUUGAAUGUGAGAGUUGAAUGAAAUAAGGUUGAAUGUGAUGAGGUUGAAUGUGAGAGUUGAAUGGGAUGAGGCUGAAUGAGACAGGGUUAACUGUGAUGAGGUUUAAUGUGAUGAGGCUGAAUGUAAGAGUUGAAUGUGAGAGUUGAAUGUGAUGAGGUUGAAUGUGAGAGUUGAAUGUGAUGAGGCUGAAUGAGACAGGGUUAAAUGUGAUGAGGUUUAAUGUGAUGAGGCUGAAUGUAAGAGUUGAAUGUGAGAGUUGAAUGUGAUGAGGUUGAAUGUGAGAGUUGAAUGUGAUGAGGUUGAUUGUGAGAGUUGAAUGAAAUAAGGUUGAAUGUGAUGAGGCUGAAUGUGAUGAGGUUGAAUGUGAGAGUUGAAUGUGAUGAGGUUGAAUGUGAUGAGGUUGAAUGUGAGAGUUGAAUGAAAUAAGGUUGAAUGGGAUGAGGCUGAAUGAGACAGGGUUAACUGUGAUGAGGUUUAAUGUGAUGAGGCUGAAUGUAAGAGUUGAAUGUGAGAGUUGAAUGUGAUGAGGUUGAAUGUGAGAGUUGAAUGUGAUGAGGUUGAAUGUGAGAGUUGAAUGUGAUGAGGCUGAAUGUAAGAGUUGAAUGUGAGAGUUGAAUGUGAUGAGGUUGAAUGUGAGAGUUGAAUGUGAUGAGGUUGAAUGUGAGAGUUGAAUG